rnacentral:rRNA from 1 species
UACGUAGGAUGCAAGCGUUGCUCGGAAUUAUUGGGUGUAAAGGGCGCGUAGGUGGCCUGGCAAGUCUCGGGUGAAAUCCCUCGGCUUAACUGAGGAAUUGCCUGAGAUACUGCCGGGCUCGAGUACGGGAGAGGGAAGUGGAAUUCCUGGUGUAGCGGUGAAAUGCGUAGAUAUCAGGAGGAACACCGGUGGCGAAGGCGGCUUCCUGGACCGAUACUGACAAUGAGGCGCGAAAGCGUGGGGAGCAAACAGG